rnacentral:lncRNA from 13 species
GGGGGGUCAGCCUCAAUGGUAUUAUUUUCAGUUGUGAAUUAUCAAAUGAUUAUCUUGCUCAUUUGAUUUAAAAUCAAUAUCAGUAUUGGUAUUAUAGUCAAAUGGACAAAUUUGGUGACAAAGAAGAUCUGCUGUGAGCAAGGGUUUGCUGUGACUACCUCCUUGGUGAAAGAAUGCUAUGUCAUUGUUUAGUAUGAAUCUAACACAGAAAAUACAUUAAUUCCCUCUCAGUUCAAUUAAAUAUAGGCAAAUGUUUGUUAAAUAAAUAGUUAUGGAGAACAAUUCGUAUUUUUGGCACAUUGAUAAUAUUUUUGUAAAAUAGAGUUAAUAUCACAAAGGAGGUCUGCUCAAUGAUUUAUAGCCUUAUAUCCAUGACAUUGUUUUGUCUUGUCAGGGACAUUUAGAACAAUUUACUUCAACACUUGUUGGCCUACUUGAGCUCAUUGUUUGUCCUUCCAGUUCCAGGUAGUCAUAUUGGCCCUUGUUCUUCAUAACAUUGAAAGGCAUCCAAAUUGAAAGUGUCUCAAUGUUUAGGCUAUUCAUGUUGCUAUAUGCCAAAAAUGAAUUAAUCUUUGCCCUAAUGGGUUUUUAAUAGUUGCGCAUCAUAAAACGCACACCAAGGCCUAUUUUAAGUGUUGAUUGUGUUGUAAUGCACCUCAAAAAGACAAAAUAACAGAAACACGUUUGAAAAUAGAUGUUUUUUUAUUUCCUAUGUGGAUCUCUUGAUGGUUAGUAGUUGAUAAUGUUUGGCUGAGUACAGAUAGCACGUACUUCUGAGCCAUUAUCGGGUAACCAGAGAAAACAACGUUGUGGUCACCCUCUGUCCCUCUUGCUUGUCACCAAAACAGACUGCUCACCAAAAAAUACCAAAUGAUGGACGAUCAAUAAAUAACAUUUAUGUACAUUUUACAUUCACAUGUUGGUAUUUUUCCUCACACGUCGUGAUAUUGACGUCAUUCUCUCCGUUUGCUGAGCUUUCGCUGUUACAAUGUAACAGUUGUAUAAAGUUGUCCCUUGAUCGCAAGUUGGUGUGCCGUUGUUGCUUGGAUCCUGAGCGAGAUGUUGACAAUGCAUUUAGAAGCACUUGCGAUGGACAGGGAAGCCAGGAUAGAGCCACCGAUCCAGACGG